rnacentral:rRNA from 1 species
GAUGAACGCUGGCGGCGUGCCUAAUACAUGCAAGUCGAGCGAACAGACGAGGGGCUUGCUCCUCUGACGUUAGCGGCGGACGGGUGAGUAACACGUGGAUAACCUACCUAUAAGACUGGGAUAACUGCGGGAAACCGGAGCUAAUACCGUAUAAUAUAUUGAACCGCAUGGUUCAAUAGUGAAAGACGGUUUUGCUGUCACUUAUAGAUGGAUCCGCGCCGCAUUAGCUAGUUGGUAAGGUAACGGCUUACCAAGGCAACGAUGCGUAGCCGACCUGAGAGGGUGAUCGGCCACACUGGAACUGAGACACGGUCCAGACUCCUACGGGAGGCAGCAGUAGGGAAUCUUCCGCAAUGGGCGAAAGCUUGACGGAGCAACGCCGCGUGAGUGAUGAAGGUCUUCGGAUCGUAAAACUCUGUUAUUAGGGAAGAACAAAUGUGUAAGUAACUAUGCACGUCUUGACGGUACCUAAUCAGAAAGCCACGGCUAACUACGUG